rnacentral:rRNA from 1 species
CAGUCGCCGCGGUAAUACGUAGGGUCCGAGCGUUGUCCGGAAUUACUGGGCGUAAAGAGCUCGUAGGUGGUUUGUCGCGUUGUUCGUGAAAACUCACAACUCAAUUGUGGGCGUGCGGGCGAUACGGGCAGACUGGAGUACUGCAGGGGAGACUGGAAUUCCUGGUGUAGCGGUGGAAUGCGCAGAUAUCAGGAGGAACACCGGUGGCGAAGGCGGGUCUCUGGGCAGUAACUGACGCUGAGGAGCGAAAGCGUGGGGAGCGAACAGGAUUAGAUACCCCAGUAGUCCCUGUCGCUUAUAC